CAGUGCCUGUUCAUGUAAACCUUGUGCGUUGCGGCGGUAUUGCUUGAAGUGCAUAACAUUGAACGUGUGUAGGCUGAGAAUGCAGUUGCUGUUUUUAUACUAACAUUUUUAUAUAGCCUAACUUUGAGAUUAACCGUUUGAUCAUGCCUCCUAAAAAAAAGCAGCAGCCGCCGAAGAAGUAACUUCAUCUUCUGACGUGCCCAUAAAUAUGAAAAAGUGUCGGGAAAAGAUAAAUCAGAAUCCAGCAAAGCACCUGCUGUGGCACGGAAACACCCUCUUCAUCCACGUACGAUGGUGAUGGUUAAUGAAGCGCUGAAGGAUUUGGACUCUCGAAAGCGGGUCUAAUCGCAGGCCAUUCACGGCUACAUAACAGAGAAAUAUCCAUCUUUGGACCUGCCUUCUGGGCCCAGGGGCUUCAGCCCCGGGAAGCCCCUUUGUUAAGCCGGCCCUGGACGUACCCCAACAACAGAAUGAAGCUGUGAAGAAAAAGGCUACAGCCAAAAAGCAGAAGGAGAAACCUUCAGAGGAUGCAAAACUCAGGAAAUCCGCAAAAGCAUCUGCUUCCAAGGUGCCCCCUGCUAAGAAGCCCAAGUCGAACAGGACAAUGGGGAAGAGGGGACAGCUGAGGAUCAACCCAAAGCACAGAAGACUACCAAGGGUGAAGGGGCAGCCAAGAAGGGUGCAAAGGCCAAAGCUUUCCAGAAGCCUGCAGAGGGUGAUGAAGGGGACACUGCUGCUCCUGAAGCUAAAAAUCACAGUGAAACGAGGCAAUGGGGGCAGCAGCAGAAUGACUGCACUCCUUUUAUCCACUUUAUAUGUUUUUAAAUAAAGCUGUUUUUGUACUACUUGUUUGUGGCAUUUAAGUGUAGACCUAACUGCUGUAAAAUGUAAUCUCCACUUUUCCUGUAGAUGUAGAUAAGUGUUGAUGGUGGCUAGGGGUUUGUAAAGA
rnacentral:lncRNA from 1 species